rnacentral:rRNA from 1 species
CGUCUCAGUUCGGAUCGUAGUCUGCAACUCGACUACAUGAAGCUGGAAUCGCUAGUAAUCGCAGAUCAGAAUGCUGCGGUGAAUACGUUCCCGGGUCUUGUACACACCGCCCGUCACACCAUGGGAGUCGGAAAUGCCCGAAGCCGGUGACCCAACCAAAAGGAGGGAGCCGUCGAAGGCAGGUCUGAUAACUGGGGUGAAGUCGUAACAAGGUAAC